rnacentral:ncRNA from 2 species
AUACACCACAAGGGGAGCUAUUUGCUGAGAGUGAACAUAUUGUUCUUACCCUUUGAACCUGUAAGUUAAUGCUUGCGCAGGGAUGUGGAUAGAAACCGGU